rnacentral:rRNA from 1 species
UGCAGUCGAACGAUGAAGCCCUUCGGGGUGGAUUAGUGGCGAACGGGUGAGUAACACGUGGGCAAUCUGCCCUGCACUCUGGGACAAGCCCUGGAAACGGGGUCUAAUACCGGAUAUGACCAUCUUGGGCAUCCUUGAUGGUGUAAAGCUCCGGCGGUGCAGGAUGAGCCCGCGGCCUAUCAGCUUGUUGGUGAGGUAAUGGCUCACCAAGGCGACGACGGGUAGCCGGCCUGAGAGGGCGACCGGCCACACUGGGACUGAGACACGGCCCAGACUCCUACGGGAGGCAGCAGUGGGGAAUAUUGCACAAUGGGCGAAAGCCUGAUGCAGCGACGCCGCGUGAGGGAUGACGGCCUUCGGGUUGUAAACCUCUUUCAGCAGGGAAGAAGCGAAAGUGACGGUACCUGCAGAAGAAGCGCCGGCUAACUA